CCACACAAUUCCCCUAGGGACAGGAUUCCCCUAGGGACAUAUUUUCCUUAGGGGAUGUAGUCUCCCCCAGGGACAGGAUAUAUUUCCCCUAGGGAGUAUGGUUUUCCCUAAGGGACCGAAUCCCCCAGGGACUUAUUUACCCUACGGGCACCGUGUCCCUAGGGGAGCCACCCCAUACCACCAUUAUGGUUGGUUAGUGCUGUGUAACGUAGUGGCUCAAACUCCUAUGCUUUCGAUAUUGUCUAUUCUAAAACGUAGUAUGCCACAAAUUACUAAAGAUAAACGAUGGACCAUUGGUUCCUCCGACAUGACUCGCC
rnacentral:sRNA from 2 species